CCUGGGAUCACAACCUGAGCCAAAGGCAGACAGACGCUCAACCACUGAGCCACCCAGGUGCCCAGCAGGAAUCAUUUUUAAAAUUCUGUUUUCAGCAGUAUUGAUUGAACCCCUGUCUUGGGCCCAAUAUCCAGAGCAAUUGACCUAGACCCACGGAAGGGGCUGAAAACCAUGUGCAGUUCAGCUCAGAAAAGAAGUUCUGUGUUGAAAAAAUAAAAAAAGUUCUGUAAGUGCUAGAAAGCAAAUCGGUGUGAACCAUAGGAUUUGGAAGGACCUCAAGAAGAGGCAGGCAGGCGGAAUGUGGCUGCCCUUCAGAACAAGAAGGUCCCCUCGAGAUCUCCAUGCCCAAACCCCUCAUUGCACAGCUGAAAACACUGAGGCCCAGAGAGCAGUGAGGAGCUUACAAAGUCAAGAGCAGACCUGAUACUAGAAUUCUGACCUCCUGCCUCCCUGAUUCUAGCUUUUUUAUUCUCUCAUCAGGCCCUCUGGUAACCAAGCCCUUUCACAUCCCUUGCCUUACUUGAAUUUCACAAUUUUUGUACAGAUGGGUUAUUACUGUCCAUUUCAUGGCUGCGAGCUCAGGCCAGAAGAAGGGCAAUGCUUUGCCACACAGAAAGUCAGGAGCAAACGUGUGUCUAGAAGCAUUCUGGUCUCCAUACCACAGCUGUCUCUGGACCCUGAAAAAAACCGUCUCCCCCAGAUUAUGGCCCCACAAGCCCCAGUAGCACUGCCUCUUUGCCUGGCCUUUGGCUUCCUUCAAGUGCUAGAGGCAGAGCUAAUUUUCCCUGCAGCUGCCCUGCAUAGAGAAAGAAGGAGAUUCAUUAAGGAUUCCUCACUGAGGGUGAAUUUGUCGCCAAACCCAAGAUGUUUUGUGUAAACACCUUCUGGUUCAGAAACGCAGGCACAGGCCCUAUGAAGGAAGAAAGAACAUUUGCCAAAGGAGAAAUAGGGCUUAGGAGGACUCCCCGGGGCCUAAAUCUCAGGACUGGGUCUCUUCCACACUGGAGCCCAAAGAGGACCAGACCAGGCUGACCCUUGACCCCUGACCCCUGCCAAAUGGGCCUGGAUGGAGAAAGGUUGAAGUAGGCUCCCAAACUGACUGUGACUGGCCCCUAAAGUCAUAUGUUUCACUUAUGUUUAUAAUCAUCUAUUCCACAAUAUUGACUGUCCUGACCUUGUUAUAGGGAUUCCACCACGAGCAAAAACCAGACAUGGUCCUUGUUUGGUCCUUGUUCUUAGAAACCUUCCAGUCUGGCAGAAGAGACAGAUGAUCAACACAUGAACAUGUAAAUAUAUCAAAGGUCAGGUGGACAAAUGCUGUGGAAAACAACAGUACUGGACAAGGUGGAGGAAAAAUGAUGGAGGGGCUAUUUGCAAUAUGGUGGGCAGGGAGGGCUUCUCUGAAGAGGAUGGACUGGAGCAGAGAUGUGGAAUAGAUGAGGGGUAAGCCAUGUGAAUGUCUGGAGGGAAAGUGUUCCAGGCAGAGGGAACAGCCAAUAUGAAUGACCUGAGAUGAGGCUUUUGGCAAAUUGAAAGAAUAGCAAGGCCAGUGUAGGUAAAACAGAAUGAGCAAGGGGAAGAAGUAGGAGAUGAGGUCAGAAAGGGCAUUAGAAGGGGGCAUUAAACAAAUGGUUCUAUAGAAGGGGCUGUAGGUGCCCUGCCCAAAUCAGUAAGCUCUCCCUUGAAGUCACCUGUGAACAACGGUGCACAGGCCUGUGGCUUCCUGCUUCUCUCUGCUCACGGGUGUGAGUUGAGUUGGGGGAAUGCUGGUGAGCUAAGGCCCGCAGGAGUGACCCUUAACCAAGAAGAGAGAAGAGUUAGUGACUGCAUAUCCCAUCUUCUUUGCCUCUCUGUGGGAGACCCAAGAGGAGGCUGCUACACUCAUCCAAGUAAGAGAGGGUGGUCAUUGCACCAAGGAGUAGCAGUGGGGGUAGCGGGCAAGGGGGUCAUCUCAGGGCCUUUGCACUCAUUCCUCCACUAGCCUGGAUUAAUUUUCUGCCACACCUUUGUACCUGUGUCAAGGUAUACCUCCACUUAUCAGCUUGGUGUCACCUCUUCCCAAGGGUCAGGAGUCUUCUCUGGGCCCACACAGCUUCCCGGGCAUCCCCGAUCUCCGUGCUUAAAUAUUAUCUUUUUCUCCAAUCAUCUCCCUCUCCAGCCAUGAGCUCCAGGGCAGAAACCAUAACUGCUAUGUCUCUAGAGCUCAGAAUGGUGCCUGGCACAGAGUGCUCAGCCAAUGUUUACGGAAUGAAAGCAGAACUUUCUAAAAUCCGAAGUAGUCAAAGAUGAACAGAGUUAACUCGAGGGUAACUAGUUCAAAUUCCAGAAGGAAGCCUGGACUGCCACAUGGUCAGAAUAUUGCAGAGGAUGAAUCUCUCUGCAGCCUCAGGGAGGACCGCCUGCAGGCUGCUGGAAACUCCUGAGGUGACCUACCUUCCCCCUAAGCCUUGGGCCACAGCUGGCACUCCAACCUCCUGAGCAUUGCUGGGACUGAAACAGUCCCUGGACACGAAAGGGAUGCUGAGCUAUAGGACUGCAGAUGGCUGCUCCUUCCUGAUCCAGGGCAGCUGUCACCCUUCCGCUUCCCUUCCGAGCUACUCUGAAGCAGCAUGAUCCUCAAACCUCCUCUCGCCUCAUCUUCCUUCUUCCCUUUCCAUCAAACUCUCCUUCUCCCCUUAUGAGACAGCAAAGCUGGCUCUAGAGCCUCAUGAGGGCUUGAAUUUGGCUCUAGCACUGAUUAACUGUGUAACUCCAGACAAAUGAAUUAGAUUCUCUGUGACUCAACUUCUUCAUCUGUAAACUGGAAGGAAAAAAACAUAAACUACCUCACAAAUUGUGAGGAUAAAGCGAGUUGGUAAUUGUACAGUGAUUCCAGUGUCCCAGGCAAAGAGAAACCGCUACAUGAGUGUUUGUGCAAUAAAUGCCCUGAUACAUCCAAUCUGAGCAAAGGGGUUGUGGGUGAGCUGGGGUAUCCAGGAUGCAUAAGCAACCCUUCCUCCUCUCCUAGAUUACUGUUAUAUUCUCUAUCCGGCUUCUCCACCCCCAAGCUGUUUC